GGAGCGUUGGCAGAGGGGUUAAUGCAGCGGAUUGCUAAUCCGUGACCGUAGUAAUGCGGUCCGUAGGUUCAAAUCCUACACGCUCCGCCA
rnacentral:tRNA from 1 species